rnacentral:rRNA from 1 species
GAGCGGACGGAGGAGAGAGCGGGCAGGGAGGGUCUAGGAGAGGAGAACGGGUGGAAAGGAGAGUAGGGCAACAGUAGCCGGAGAGGAAAGGAGGGCGGCAGCGGCCGGAGAGGAAAGGAGGACAGCAGCGGCCGAAGGAGGGUGCCGCGGUGGGGUAAAAGAGGGUGUCGCCCGUGGUCUUUAGGUCGUGGGGUUCCAUUUUAUAGUUAAAAAAUCGCGGGUGCUGCACGAAGACCCGCCGCCUCCGCGACCAAGGCGCACGCGGUCGUGACCUAGGUGCACGGGGCUGUGGCCACUGCUUCGCUGUAACCUACACCUCGCCGCCUCGCCGCGGCAUCGUCAUCUCGUUGUCUCGUUGCCUUGUUGCCCCAUCGCUUCUUCGCCUCACUGUCAUGUUGCGGAUAAGUACCCCAUGACGACGGCGUUCCAUUCCUUAGUUAGGGAGAGAGCGCCCACGAAGGAGAGCGGUACCGAACCGGAGAGUGCCCCCAAUUACGCACACGACACCACGUCUUAUAACUCCUUCUACUGCUACACCUCCGCCUCCUCCGCCGCCGGCUCCACCACUACUGCCUCCUCCCCAGGCAGAUCCAGCGGGUCUUCUUGGAGUUCCCCCAAGACGACUUGGAGUUCGAUUCCUUAGGCAAACAAACACCCAAGCAGAAUCCACGUCUACACUAAAAACAAUCCCUUCACCUCCUAAAACAAGAAGGACACUUGUAAUUGAACAAUGUUUUCCCUCGAGUGUGUUUUCCUUUGAUACAACGACAUCUUCUAAAACAAGAAGGACACACUGACACUUUACAUUUCCUUUAAUUAGGUAUAAAAACAUGAUGAGUACAC